GACGAACGCUGGCGGCGUGCUUAACACAUGCAAGUCGAACGGAAAGGCCCUGCUUUUGUGGGGUGCUCGAGUGGCGAACGGGUGAGUAACACGUGAGUAACCUGCCCUUGACUUUGGGAUAACUUCAGGAAACUGGGGCUAAUACCGGAUAGGAGCUCCUGCUUCAUGGUGGGGGUUGGAAAGUUUCGGCGGUUGUGGCUGGAUUCGCGGCUUAUCCGCUUGUUGGUGGGGUAGUGGCUUACCAAGGCUUUGACGGGUAGCCGGCCUGAGAGGGUGAACGGGCACAUUGGGACUGAGGGACGGCCCAGAAGCCAACGGUAGGCAGCAGGGGGGAAUAUUGCACAAUGGGCGGAAGCCUGAUGCAGCAACGUCGCGUGCGGGAUGACGGCUUUCGGGUUGAAAACAGCUUUCGCCUGAGACGAAGCGUGAGUGACGGUAAUGGGUAAAGAAGCACCGGCUAACUACGUG
rnacentral:rRNA from 1 species